rnacentral:rRNA from 1 species
AGGUAAGCUACUAAGAGCGAAUGGUGGAUGCCUUGACUGGUAAAGGCGAUGAAGGACGUACUAGACUGCGAUAAGCUACGGGGAGCUGUCAAGAAGCUUUGAUCCGUAGAUUUCCGAAUGGGGCAACCCAAUGUAUAGAGAUAUACAUUACCUAUAUAGGAGCGAACGAGGGGAAUUGAAACAUCUUAGUACCCUCAGGAAAAGAAAUCAAUAGAGAUUGCGUCAGUAGCGGCGAGCGAAAGCGCAAGAGGGCAAACCCAGUGCUUGCACUGGGGGUUGUAGGACUGCAAUGUGCAAGAGGUAAGUUUAGCAGAACAUUCUGGAAAGUAUAACCAUAGAGGGUGAUAGUCCCGUAUGCGAAAAACAAACCUUAGCUAGCAGUAUCCUGAGUAGGGCGGGACACGAGGAAUCCUGUCUGAAUCCGGGUCGACCACGAUCCAACCCUAAAUACUAAUACCAGAUCGAUAGUGCACAAGUACCGUGAGGGAAAGGUGAAAAGAACUGAGGUGAUCAGAGUGAAAUAGAACCUGAAACCAUUUGCUUACAAUCAUUCAGAGCCCUAUGUAGCAAUACAGGGUGAUGGACUGCCUUUUGCAUAAUGAGCCUGCGAGUUGUGGUGUCUGGCAAGGUUAAGCAAACGCGAAGCCGUAGCGAAAGCGAGUCUGAAUAGGGCGCUUAGUCAGAUGCUGCAGACCCGAAACGAAGUGAUCUAUCCAUGAGCAAGUUGAAGCUAGUGUAAGAACUAGUGGAGGACUGAACCCAUAGGCGUUGAAAAGCCCCGGGAUGACUUGUGGAUAGGGGUGAAAGGCCAAUCAAACUUCGUGAUAGCUGGUUCUCUCCGAAAUAUAUUUAGGUAUAGCGUUGUGUCGUAAUAUAAGGGGGUAGAGCACUGAAUGGGCUAGGGCAUACACCAAUGUACCAAACCCUAUCAAACUCCGAAUACCUUAUAUGUAAUCACAGCAGUCAGGCGGCGAGUGAUAAAAUCCGUCGUCAAGAGGGAAACAACCCAGACUACCAGCUAAGGUCCCUAAGUCUUACUUAAGUGGAAAACGAUGUGAAGUUACUUAAACAACCAGGAGGUUGGCUUAGAAGCAGCCAUCCUUUAAAGAAAGCGUAAUAGCUCACUGGUCUAGUGAUUUUGCGCGGAAAAUAUAACGGGGCUAAAGUAAGUACCGAAGCUGUAGACUU